UACAGAGGCCCCAAGCGUUACUGAGAAUCACUGGGUUUAAAGGGUGCGUAGGUGGCGCGUUAAGUCCGUUGUGAAAGCCCUGGGCUCAACCCAGGAACUGCUUCGGAUACUGGCGCGCUUGAGGCUAGUAGAGGUCACUGGAACUGACGGUGGAGCGGUGAAAUGCGUAGAUAUCGUCAGGAACGCCAAUGGUGAAGACAGGUGACUGGGCUAGUUCUGACACUGAGGCACGAAAGCGUGGGGAGCGAACGGGG
rnacentral:rRNA from 1 species